rnacentral:snRNA from 1 species
AUACUUACCUUGCAGGGGUGAUACCAUGAUCAGGAAGGUAGUUUUCCCAGAGCGAGGCUUAUCCAUUGCACUCCAGAUAUGCUGACCACUGCGAUUUCCCCAAAUGUGGGAAACUCACUGCAUAAUUUGUGGUAGUGGGGAACUAACAUGCACUCUUUUCCCUG